GCCGCCGUGCCGCUGGAACACAAUUGCUGUUCUCACCCUGAAGCAAAGUUCUUAACCCGAGGUACUAUUUCUGGGUUAGCGGACUCUGUAACCUGAAGCGUAUGUAACCUGAUGUAUAUGUAACCCGAGGUACCACUGUAGAGUGUCGUUUAUUUCAGAUACAAACAAACUUUAACUGCAUUCCAUCCGUUGUUACUCUUUACCUUCCUAGUCUUAUUUAAUCCUAUCUCUAUCUCUUUUACCUCCCCUGACACAAUAACCAACUGCACUAACUGUCUCUCUGUUACCAACUGCCUGCCAACUGCUUUUCCAACUGCCUUUCCCAACCAGCCAACCAACCCACCCACUAAAACCAACCAACCAAAUAACGCAAGCCUUGGGCAAACCCUUUUAUAAACAGGUAGGCUCCGCCUCCGGCUUUCCUAUUGGUUGACAUUUUAACCCUUUCUCUCCCCCCGUACAGCCAUUUUCUAAACGAACGGGCAAACGCCACACUCCCAUUCCACCCCAAUGAUUGUUGAAUCUAUACCCAGGGAGUGCUGAGAUUUUUGUUGAUCGGAUGUUUGCAGGCAACACCCUACUUGUGUUGGGUGGACCGCUACAGUAGUUGCCUUUCUGCUUUUACACACUAGCAAAAUUCCUUACUCUAACUUGAUGCCUAAGUCUUGCACUUUCAUGUUUAGCAAAGCCCUUGAGAUUCCUGUGCAAGACAAAUUUGUCGGCUCUUAAACUGCAUUAACUUUCAACUCUAGCAUGCCCUGCUAAAUCCCUUAAGCAACAAUUAUCAUUAUCAAUAUUUGAUAUGUAGCUUAUAAUUCCCAUGCAUAUUUCAGAAAAGCAUAUUUUAUAUAUUUGAUGUUGAAUCUGCCAAGUGAAGGUUCCUCACAGACAAAAAAAAGGAGGAAAAAAUGGACAGUGGAGCACAGUUACUGGGACAUUGUGGAGCAGAGGAUGCAAAACAAGUUCUACAUGGUGAAAGUAAUUUUUUAACCGUGCCUCAGAAAGUGUUUGUUACUUGAUUUGCUAAGAAGUGUAGUGGUCAAGUCUUACUGAACUUUAGAAACGGUUAGAGCAUCACAACCAUUCAUUUGAAAAUGGUAAAAUUGGCAUAGUAUUUUUUAAAUGCCUUUUAAUCUUCAGGAUAUACUUUAAGUAGGGGCUACAUUACGUCUGCCAGAAAGGAGAUUGUGGAGUAGAUGAAUGCUCAGUUUGGAAUUUUCAUUGAAGGAUUUUCAUAGAAAGCAAGGGCACAUACAAUGUCUCUGUUCUCGGUUCAUAGAGUCCUUUCUACAGGUCAGUUAGAUUUGGUUCUGAAGUGCUGCUGUCAUAGACCUUGUGAGGUGCGGGGGCGGGGGGCAGGGAGUCAACUGGGGAGAGGGGGUGGAAAGAAAUGGGGUAAUGAUUUUCCAUUCUUUUGCUUUGCAUAUGUGUUGGGUUUUUGUGUCAACAUCACAAGGAUAGGUUUUUUAUUUGUCUGUUUUGGUGGUGCGACAGUUGAAAACAAGAAUUCAAAAGCACACAUGAAAUAGGCCAGCAGCCCAAUUCUAACAUUUCCUGCCUAGGAAUAUCCUGAAAGUUGUGCAUGUUCUGUGCUGCCAGACAUGAGCCCCGUUCAGGUAUUCAGACAAAUUUCAGAAUGGUUUAACAGUCAUUCCCUGUUCAAAGGGAACUCUGGGAAUUGUAGUUCUCUGAGGAAAACAGGGUCUCCUAACAGUUCUCAGUUCCCAUGAUUUUUUUGAGAGAGGCCAUGACUGUUUGAAAUGGUACAAUAGCACUUUAAAUUUAUGGUGUAGAUGAGGCCAAAUAAGGACUGUGUGGAAAUGAUGCCUUCUUAUAUCCCCAGUCUCUUCACAUGUUACUAUUUUAGGUUUCCACUGAAGUUUAUUAAAAGUGCACACUUAAAAUUAUAAAAUGUAAAUGUGACAAACCAAUGUCUGAAAGCACAUGUAUGUUGUUGGGUGCAGUUGGCAAACCUAAAUUGGUUGCUGGGCAAUAUGUGAAACGUCCCUAAUUGAUUUCUGAGGUGAGACCCAAGAGGCAAAGGUUUAAAUAAAAGUAAGGAUGUCAGAGCCAAACCAUUAAUAGCUUUGCAAGUGGGGGUUUAAAAUUCCUUUGGCGCUCCCUUUGUUUAAGGUCAUAUGUUCACAAAUGUCAGAAAUAAUCCUGCAUUUUAACUCCACACUUCAGGCACUGUUUAAAGUUCACAUUGAAAUGGAUCGCAUGCCAGUUUAAACAAGAACUGAGUGACUUCUAAAACUGUAAGACAGGUCAAUAAACAGGAAGGGCACCUAGGAGAGAAACUUGUUUAGUCUCCCUUUUUUCCAGGAAAGGUGGCUCUUCCUUAUUAGGGUACGAUCCGCUUAACGUUGGAAUAGAAGAAUAUCUUGAGCAGGCAGGUUUUCAUUCUUCCAUAACACCUAGAUGCAUCUCUGCACGGGAUUUCUCCAUUUGCAGUAGUGUAUGAAGAGUAGGCAAACGGGGCACAAAACAGGCAGGUGUGCAAAACCAGGUAAUACGUUUGCAGUUAUUGUAAUAACAGCGAGUGUGUGCAUAUAUGUGUUGGCCUUCCAAGGGACUGGGGUAAAGGUUGGGUCCAGCAGAAUCAAUCUGAGCUUUGAUGAGCACGAAAGAGUGGAAGGAAGAAAUGGGAAGACUGGCACUUAGAACUGGAGGAGGAAGUGAGAGUCCCACUCUUUCCCAUUUCCCCCUUCAGUUCCGUUGUGUUUUUUAAGGGAGAAAAAGGUAAUGAACCAGUGCCUUUUUUGCCUCCGAGGAGGCACUGAAGGGUACGCAGUACCGGCACCCCUUUUUGUUGUUGUUGUUAAAAAGUGUGGCACUUACUGCAACAACUUCAUGGUGAGUACCAGAACCUAUUUUUCUAGGAAAAAAAGCACUGGUAACCACCCUCACCAACUCAUGAGCAAGGGGGUAGUGUGUGUUAUGGGGGGGGGGGAUAAGAGACUUAGUAGGCAAUGGGAAAACCUCAAAGUUUCCAUUGAGUUUACAGGCACCAUGUUGGUGACCCUGCAGUAAAACAUAUUCUUUCAUUACAUAGAGGGGGGGGGGGUGCAAGAAUUUCCCACGCCUUCCAUUACUCCAUUUGUUCUCAGUAUCAAAACUGUUACUCGUUUCUUCGGUCAUUUAUUUCAAUAUUCAUUUGUUGAUGUUUGUUGCUGGUGGUGGAAUACAGUUAAUUUCCCUUGCAGCUUCAGGCAGCCGCCAUUUUAUUUUUCUCCUGUUAUGUACUGAAGUUCUCACCCUGGGCCAGAAGGGGGAUACUGUAGAUACAGUUUUCACUCAGGUCCGCAUAUGCAAAUAAGGAAUUGAAAGUGACAUUCAGUGAUUGGAUAGUUACAGAAAGUUGUUACUGUUGCCGUGUAGUAGAGCUCUAUAUAAGCAGGUUUGCUGAACCCUUCAGCCCUGUUCUGUUCUGGCCUGUGAAUAAACAAGAGCUGUCUGAAGAAUUGCUGUGUCAUCUGAUAUGUUCACCCACAACUUAACACCUCCUAUGCCCCAGACAUUGCAUCAUUAGGGCAUUCUGGGAAAAUAAAAUGGCAGCUGCCACCAGCAGCCACCCAAAUCAUCUGCCGCCGCCACCUCUGCAGAACGCUAAGGGCUCCUGCCCCAAAGAGUAGGAAUGGGUACAAAUUUGAGUGGCAAAAACCAUCUGGUACUUAAACACAUUAGUUUCAGAACAAAUGAAAACUGAGCUGGGUGGGCCAUAUUCAGUUCAGUUUUUCAUGUGAUAUGAAUGCACACACCGAGCCACUAUGGAGCUGGUGGCAGAGAAGAAAUUAUUAUUAUUAUUAUUAUUAUUAUUAUUAUUAUUAUUGGCCAAACAUUUGUGUGCCACUCAGUAACAAAGUUUCCAGGCAGAGUACAAUAAAUAUGAAAGCAAUUUAAACACAAAACAGAAAAUAUUAAAUUGAAAGACACUUGAUUCACAUGAAAACAAGAAAGGAACCCUGCUGUACCAGACCAAAGGCCCACCUAGCCCAGAAUCCUGUUAUCACAGCAGCCUACCUUCAGUUGAAGCAGAACCAAGUUUAUUUGCACACCAGUUUCUAAGCAGGACAGCCUGAGCAGUGCGCUUUUGGAGUUUCAGCAGCGUCGCUCUCUUAAGGCCCACAGCCAUUAUUAAUUCAUCUCAGUGCUUUAGCAUUCUCCUUCCCGUUUUCACAGUUUCAUGUUUCAUGGAUUGCUUACACACUUAUGCUGCUGAGGCACUGCGUUUCUGCAAUAAGCUAAAAGCAGAAUUAAAACGGAGGUUCCUCCUGGUACUUGAGUGAUAUGAACAUAACCUCCAAGUGUCCCUAUUUUCCAGGGACAGUUCUGGAAUUACAAAAGCCAUCCUGUCUUCUGAUGUAAUUCCAGAAUGUCCGGUGUGGUGUAGUGGUUAAGAGCAGAGGACUCGUAAUCUGGUGAACAGGGUUCGCUUCUCCGCUCCUCCACAUGCAGCUGCUGGGUGACCUUGGGCUAGGCACACUUCUCUGAAGUCUCUCAGCCUCACUCACCUCACAGAGUGUUUGCUGUGGGGGAGGAAGAGAAAGGAGACUUUGAGACUCCUUAGGGUAGUGAUAAAGCGGGAUAUCAAAUCCAAACUCCUCUUCUUCUUCUUCUUCUUCUUCUUCUUCUUCUUCUUCUUCUAUUUCAUCUGCCACUGCUGCCGCCACUGAGCUCAAGGAGGAGGAUGAGCUGGUGCUUGUCCCGAGCGACAACAGCUGCAAGGGAUUAUCCCAUGGCCUCUUCAUGGCCACUCCUGCCGGCCUCCUCCUUUGGGCGGCUUGUAGUGGCUUCUGGAGAGGGGGCGAGGAGAAGGAGAGGCUGCAGCCGCGGUUGCCCAGCCCUGUGUGCCACACCAGGUCUUAGGGGCAGGCAGAGGGCAGGGCCUACCUAGGAAGGAAGGAAGGAAGGAAGGAAGGAAGGAAGGAAGGAAGGAAGGAAGGGGGAGCCGAGUGCAGUUCAAGGAGUCUUGUUUUUUUUAAAAAAUAAUAAUAGUGCAUUCGUGUUUAAUCUUGUCCCUUUCUAAAAUUUAUUUACUGGUGUGUGUGUGUGUUUUGUAAAUCUACCAAAGGAUAAAAUAAAAUAGCAUAAGGGGUUUUCUCAGGAAAGUGGGGGGCCUGUGUGCUGUGUCCCAUUGGUGUACUGGUGGCGGCACUUUAUUCUGAUAAAUGCCAGGGGGGAAUGGACGGACAAUAAAUGGGGGGGGGGUUGAGGAGGGUCAGUUGAGGGGGGAGUGAGAAAUACCCCCUUUUUCAUCUGUGGAAUGUUGGAGGGUAUGUAUUAACUUGCAAUGCCACUCCUAUUACCAAGUCAUUUGCUCCCAAGUAAGUGCAAUUCAGCAAAGGCUCUCUGCUUUAUAUAAGUGUGUAUUCUUAGGACUGACCUUAUUUUGUGAUUGUAAGUUGCUUAAACUGUUUUUAAUAUUGUGUUUUUAUGUUGUAACCUGGGGCCUUAGGGUGAAAGAAAUGUGGUUAUUAUUAUGAAUAACAACAUAUAUUAUUAUCUGUUGUUCAUUGUUUACACAAUCUCAGAGUAAGCAAUAAGUUUCCUCCUUGUUGGCUCAGCUCAUUUUAUUGCUUUCUGAUGAACUUGACAGAGGAUUACUGAUGAAUUGCCCCCAGAAUAGCUUAUCUUAAUUGUCUCAAUAUCAGUUUCUGUUCCCAGAGGGGGAGUCCUUAAUUUUCUAUUUCCUUGCAUUGACACUUAUUCAAUUUUUUUAAAAAAGAAGAACACAAUAAUGAAAGGAAACCAGUGAUUAAAGCUUUCCCCCACUAUGGGAGCACAAACUGACUGGGUUAAUUAAUUAACUACACAUAGAAGACCUGCAAAUCAGAUAUUUUUUAAAAGAAAGGUUCAGGCGAGCUUUAAAAACCUCCGAAGUUCUUUGCCUGUCUGCAGUCUUGGACUGCAACUGCACUCUGUUGACAAUGCAUCUAGUCAUUAAAAAAAUUACAGGAGAACAAUGCAGGAAACCCUGAACUGCAAUAACCAUCUCAAUUCUCUCUCUCUCCUUCUCUCAACAAAAAAAACCCCAAAAACCAAAAAACACCCCUGAGUGAACAAACAAUGAAAUAUCCAAAUAAAAGGGAUGAGUGGAAGCAACCUUGCUCCCUAAGGGUUCAAGGAGAGGGGCAAAGGAAUAUGUUGGCUUGUAGAGAGGAUAUUGUUGGUUGGUGUCAGAUCCCUGCUAUAAUGAACAAUGUUAGUUUGCACAAAGGAGGAUGCUAACGUAAUCCAUGAGUUCUCCUUCAAAUUACAUCACAUUUUACCUCAUUCAAAGUUAAACAGUAUGAAGGAACAUUGUGAGGCAGAGGGUACGCACUGUCCUUCAGGAUUCCCUGACCAGAAAAAAACAGCAGUAAUUAUAAUGAUAAUAAUUUAUUACUUGUACCCCGCCUACCUGACAGGGUUGCCCCAGCAACUCUGGAUGGCCUCCAACAGAAUAUUUAAAAAAACCCACAGUGAAACCUCAGACAUUUAAAAACUUUAAAAUACAGGGCUUCCUUCAGAUGUCUAUGGAAAGUCGUAUAAUUGUCUCUUGGAGAUUUGACGGGUGAGCGUUCAACAGGGCAGGCACUACUACUGAGAAGACCUUCUGCCUGUAACUCCAGGUCUUUCAGUGAGGGAACUACAAGGCCCUUGCAACUGGUCUUCAGUAUCUGGGGUGGAAACCUUCCUUCCACAAGCUAGAUGCAUGGGGUCUUACCCUAAUUUGCAGGGCUGCCCAUGGCUUUGCAUGGGCGGGCAUUCUAAGGAGGGCAAUGGUUUUUGCAGCUAAAAACUAACAUGGCUACCCCUCUAGAAACUGUCACAAAGGAGGUGGCACUUUAUUUUGGAAUAUUCUCUCUCCCCCCACCCCCCGGCUCGCUGCAGUCAAGUGACAAUUGUGGUAACCGCAGGCCCUUCUGCAGAAUGGAAGCAAUUCAGUCCUCUUGGGAAGGGCACCUUUUGUGAGAAAAAUUCCUAUUCAUGAGUCACUGAAGUGAAUGUGUAGAGUUUGGCUGGGUUGUAGAUGAUCAUUAGCCACAGCUUCUCUAGUGCCGACCAUUCAAAGCGUAUGCCGUUAGUUAUGUGGCAUCUUUUUCGGGUUUUCAUUCUGUUUCCUAGCUGCUGCCCCCUGUUACUGCCUGCAUUUAGCAAUACAAACACAAUGAGGUCUCCUCUCACACGGUGGAGGGAUCUGUGUAAUUGGGCGGAAAACUCUGAUAAUGAGACUUCAUUACAGUGAGGGAGAUGUGGCGUGGUAUAUCCUGGAUCAGCAAAAUUUGUGUCAGGAACGUUUCAAGGACACCUUGUACUCGCAUAUAGGGCAGAUAAGUUAUACCACAACUUCUUUAAAAGACUUCAAUUUAGGCUGCAAUAACAAAACACACACACACACACACACACACCAAAACCCAAACAAACUGAAUAUAUUCUUUAUAAUGGGUUUUGUUGUGGGAAAAUAGGCUGAAGAAGCAGUUGAAUUGACUUGUUAAAGAAAAAGUGACAAAGGCAGAAUAAAACAUUGCUUUGUGACUUUCAGGUUUGAAAAUUUGGGGUCAUUUCUGGCAUUUUUAAUGGCAUAAUUUUUCUGGAAUCUUGUGAAUGAACUUUGCCACUCAGAAUAAUACUCCUGCAGUGGCAAGGCAAUCGAAUGAGCCAUAGCCAGUAGUUUUCAUGCAGAUAAUUCAGCUGAAAUGGUAGCCACCAUAAAUUUUACCUUAUGCUUUAUAGCAUAACCCCUUAGUGACUUUGGCUUAGUGGAAAGCACUUCCCAGUUUCCUGAUUUCCUUUCACCAAGUAAGCCUCCACUCCUGUCAAAAAUAUGCUCCUGAGUUUUGGGGCCAGGGGAUCUUCCAGAACAUAACCAGAUGUGGUGUGGGGGGCUGCAAGAAAUAGGUCGGAUCAAUGAAAAUUGUGUGCCCUGGCUUGCACAAGCAGAUAUCCUUUCUUCACAGAAGGGUUCAUGUGGCACUGGGUUCCAAGUGUUUGAGGACAGGGACAUUCUCAGGGAAACCAAAAUCCUUGUUUACAAAGCUAUUGUACUACCAACCUUACUGUAUGCUUAUGAAACAUGGACCACUUAUAAACACCAUCUCCAACUCCUUGAAAGAUUCCAUCAACGGUGUCUCCGAAAAAUUUUGCACAUCACUUGGGAAGACAAGCGAACUAAUAUCAGUGUACUGGAAGAAGCAAAGAUCACUAGUGUUGAAACAAUGAUUCUUCAACAUCAGCUUCGUUGGACUGUUGUGCGGAUGCCUGAUUAUCGUCUUCCAAGGCAACUGCUCUAUUCCGAACUUAAGAAUGCAAAGCGUAAUGCUGGUGGUCAACAAAAGAGGUUUAAAGACUGUCUCAAGGCAAAUCUAAAAAAAUGUAGCAUAAACACUGACAACUGGGAAACACUGGCCUGCGAGCACUCCAGUUAGAGAACAGCCUUUACCAAAAGUGUCAUGGGCUUUGAAGACACUCGAACUCAGGAUGCAAGGGAGAAACAUGCUAAGAGGAAGGCACACUUGGCAAAUCCACACCGUGAUCAACUCCUGCCCAGAAACCAAUGUCCCCACUGUGGAAGGAUGUGUGGGUCCAGAAUUGGCCUCCACAGUCACUUGCGGACACAUUGUUAAAACCGUGUUUAUGGAAAACAAUCUUACUCGGCUACAAGUGAUCACCGAAGAAGAAGAAGAUGUUGAAGGUUAAAACUAUUGAUUGCUGAAAAUUUGGAGGUUGUAAGGGAUGGGGUUCUCAAGCCCCGCAAAAUCUCACUGAAAUCUGCAAGUGUAUGGACCCUGCUGGUACACCAUCUGAAUCUGAGUAAUACCACAACCAACAUGCAUUCAGUUAAAUGGGCCAGAAAAUCUUUUUUACGGAAUGCAAUAACAUUAAACACUCACAAGAUCUUGGAACAGAUUUCCAUUUCCAUGGAGUUGAAGUUCCAGGAAAGGCAGGUAGUAUUCCAUAGUUCUUCAUAUAAUUCUCUGCCCUGUGGAAAAAAAGAGAGGCAGCUAUAACAGGCACAGGUGUACCUUCAUCAAUUGUUCCCAAUCGUUUCAAAUCUUCUAGGUGAUAUUUCAAGAAGGAGGUUCUGACUAGUCAUCAAGAAUAACUUUCUGGCACUAAGAGCUGUUUGACAGUGGAAGGGACUCAGGAGGUGGUGGGCUCUCCUUCCUUGGAGGUUUAUAUGCAGAGGCUGGAUGGCCAUCUGUCAUGGAUGCUUCAGUUGAGAUGCCUGCACUGUGGGGGUUGGACUAGAUGACCCAAGGCUCCCUUCCGACUCUAUAAUUCUAUGGAUUGCAAAAGCUCUGGAUCCACAUGACAAAUCCCAGUGCUUAUUUUUCUGGGGAAACCCUUUCCCCCCAUCCCAUUAUGACCCAUGAAUGGGUAUAAUGUGGACUUGGUUAUAAAUUUUAUAUUUUAAAGCACCUUUUUAAUUUUAAACCCAAGAGUGAUGGAAAUGGUGCCCCCAGCUCCCCCCCAAACCACUGUGUUAAAUAAAGCAAAAGAUGAUAAAGGAAGCUCAGUCUCAAAAUGGUUCCAACGAAUGUGUAGUGCAGAAUGAGAUUUGUUAGCAUCUCUCUUUAGUGGAGCCGAACACCGCAGAAGCCAUAAAUAAUGCACAGCUGCUAACCAUCAUAAUUAGAAUGCCUGCUGAGAAAUGGCUGCAACACACCAGUAGGAUGGCAGUGACUAACUAUUUCAAUACACCGGCUCUGGGGAUGGGGAUGCACACAGCGUCUGGUCCCCUACUCACUGGAUCAAAUUGCCUUGGCCAAAUUGCCUUGGUCAUCAUCGCCUUGCUGAUUCAUAACCCCCCAAAAGCAGCCGCAAUGUCUCUUAAAAUCCCAGCGGUCUUUACGAAAUGUGCCACGGUAACCAUUUAUUCAGCUUGGGGCAGAUGAGGAGAGAAAUGACAAGGAAGCAGGACUAAUAAGUAGGCAUUGUUUUGUAGCAGGCUUCCCACGUUCCCAGGAUGCUAAAGAUACAUCAGCUGGGAUGACUGGGAACUGGGAACCCAGUUUUGUUGAUGUCCGUGGCGCUUUUUGUGUGUUGUACAAACAAUUCUUCAGUCUUGUGUGCAUGAUAUCCAGCCAGAAAUUUAUUCCCUUCAUACUUUUUUUUGCUAGUUUAAAUUUGUUCUCAUUUUUAAAAGCAUUAAACACACACCCAAAACAGCUUUAAAUGUAUACAGUGCUGCAGAUGACUUUUAGGGACAAAGUUGUCACACGGCUAAUUCUUCAAUGAAGAAAAAUCACAUGCAGGUAUCAGAUUUGCUAAUGCGCCACAACUCAGCAGAAGCACUCUGCAUUCUAGAAUAGUAGACUUUCCAGACACAGAGUCCUGUCAUUAGCUCAGAUAUGAAUGAUGGGACACAGUUCUCUCCCUCCCUCCCCCCUCUCUUUUACUGUUAUCUUAAGAUGGUUGGUGGACCUAUCUUAGGUCAGGGCAGGGGUCAGCAACCUUUUUCAGCCAUGGGCCAAUCCACUGCCCCUCAGACCAUGUGGUAGGCCAGACUAUAUUUUUUUUUGGGGGGGGGAGGAAUGAACAAAUUCCUAUGCCCCACAAAUAACCCAGAGAUGCAUUUAUAAAUAAAAGCACACAUUCUACUCAUGUAAAAAACCAGGCUGGCCUCAUGAAUAACCAAGAUUAUGCAUUUUAAAUAAAAGGACACAUUCUACUCAUGUAAAAACACGCUGAUUCCCGGACUGUCCAUGGGCCGGAUUGAGAAGGCCCACGGGCCUUAGGUUGCCUACCCCUGGGUCAGGCUGACUGUGACCUAGUUGUGGGUCUCAAGAAUUCACGAGUUGAGGAACUACAUACUAGACCAGGGUUUCCCAGACUUAGGUCUCCAGCUAUUGUUGGACUAAAACUCUGACCUUCCCCAGCUAGCAGGACCAGUGAUCAUGGAUAAUGGGAAUUGUAGUCCAAAAACUGCUGAAGACCAGAGUUUGGGAAACCCUGUACUAGAAUGUCCUAGACAACAGAUAAACACAAUUGCUAGAAUAGUUAUUGUAUUACGUCAUUUUAUGGUGUUUUUUUUUAAAAAAAGUAAGUCAAACCAAGCAUUCAUAGAAAACAUAAUAAUAAUAAUAAUAAUAAUAAUAAUAAUAAUAAUAAAUUUAUUUAUACCCCGCCCAUAUGGCUAGGUUUCCCCAGCCACUCUGGGUGGCUUCCAACAAAAUAUUAAAAUAAUCUGUUAAACAUUAAAAGCUUCCCUAAACUGGGCUGCCUUCAGAUGUCUGAUAAAAGUCUGGUGGUAGUUUUUCUCUUUGAGAUCUGGUGGGAGGGCGUUACACAGGACAGGUGCCACUACCAAGAAGGCCCUCUGCCUGGUUCCCUGUAACUUGGCUUCUCGCAGUGAGGGAACCACCAGAAGGCCCUCGGCACUGGACCUCAGUGUCCGGGCGGAAUGAUGGGGGUGGAGACACUCCUUCAGGUAUACUGGGCCGAGGCCAUUCAGGGCUUUAAAGGUCAGCACCAAAACUUUGAAUUGUGCUCGGAAACAUACUGGGAGCCAAUGUAGGUCUUUCAAGAUCAGUGUUAUGUGGUCUCAGCUGCCGCUCCCAGUCACCAGUCUAGCUGCCGCAUUUUGGAUUAGUUGCAGUUUCUGGGUCACCUUCAAAGGUAGCCCCACAUGAGGAAUAUAUGGGCGCAUAUUCAAAAAGUACAUUGUUUCAAAACCACUUUUGAAUUUCUGUGAUAAAGAACACUGUGCUUGAGCGUAAGGAAAGAAUGUUGUUGAAUUUUCGUCAUUUAGCUAAGUUCUCAAUACAUGACCUACUAGGUACUCAAGACUGGCAGAAAUCUCACUCACACCUCUGGUAAAAACUGAGCACAUGAUUGCUGUGUUAUAUUUGUGAGUUUGCAAGGGAGCUAUAAAUAUUUUCCAGCCCACUGCACUGUGCUCAUAAGACUGGAUGUGAGUGAAUUGUUAUGGUAUAUAGGUAGAAUGCCCAUGUAAGCGGGGAAAUAUUCAGAGCCACUCAUAAAAGAAAACAACAAAUUAAGAGUCAGGGUACUUGCUCCCCUUAAAUAAUUCUUAUGAGUUUCUGUUGCUGGGAAACCUACAGCAAACAACAGGGAAUCUUAAGAUCAUAAGGCUUAAGCCAAUUCCUCUUCCUCUCCAGGAAUUAAUUUAGCCCUUUUGGGGUAUUGAUCUGGCCCUGUUACUGUUCUGCCAGCUGUGUCAGUCAGAAGUGGAUUUUCUAUGGAGCACAGACACGUUCCAUUGAAGAAGAAGAGGAAUUAAAAAAAGUGUUUUCAGAUAAGGCUUUGCUCUCGGCUUUUUCGCUGAAGUUUUUCGGAGUAGCUGCUAUGCUGAAUCUUCUGAGGUGUGUGCAGAGUUUUUAAAAAGCUGAAAAAUAGGGGAAGCGCCUUUAGCUCAGAGGCAGAGAGGAUACACCAUGAACACAGAAUAUCUUGGAGGCAGGCAGCGUCUUGGGUCUCCUGGGCCUUUGAGGUGAGCAGAUCAUGAAUGGCAUCAGUUCAGUCAGAUAGCUAUGAUGUCUUUGUUUGAAAUCACCCAGCAAAUAUUUAUCCAUAGCCACAAGGGAUCACCUGGAAGCGAGAAUCCCUGUAAAAUAGCACUCACAUUGUGUGUGUGUUUGCAUCGUAGUGGUGAAUUGUUGAGAUUUUAUCUGAUCACAAGCUGAUGCUGGACCUGUUGAUGUUUGGGAGAAGAGCAUAGUCUCUGUUAUCAUCACCGUGAUCAAUUUAUUUAUAUGCCGUGUUUCCACUUUAGGCUUGAAACUGCCCCCAAGAACAAUAAGCAAAUCAAUAUUUGCAGGUAUGACAAAAUAUAGUUAUAUAGUCAUACAGAUAUCAAACAGAAUUCAUAAUGUAAUAAUUAAAUUCACAUUAGCAAGCUAAGCAAGAGACGGCAAUUAAAUUUUCCCCUAAACCUAUUAAAAACAUUCCUUUCAAAAAUAAGACUAAAAGAUCCUAUUCACAUUUAGCCAGCAAAUCCACUAGCUCACCCAAACCAUGAAGAUAUCGGAAGCAAAUAGCCACAGCAAUAUCAAAAUGUUACAGUUUGAACUAGUGAAAUUCAAAACCUCUCAAAACAGCAGCAUUACGAGGGCCCAGAAGUCCUAUGUCCCAGGGGACAAAGGAAGCAUUGUAUCUCCUCUUCCUGGACAGAGAGAGAUCUCUGACCUUGGAGAAGGACAACUGAUGUCAGAUUUUCCCUCCUUGUGCUGAGGAAACAUCUGUGGCAGUUGGGCACUAGAGUGCCAAUGCUGCCCUUGGUUCUUCGUUCCUUGCAUCCUAUGGCCACAUAAGUAAGGUUGCACAGCAUCUAACAUCCCUCUUCUUCCACCAAAGGUCACUCUGGGCACGGGGACUUAAUCCAGUUCACAUUUAAAGGUGAUCCUAGCUAUUUCACACUUUGCCACAUGAUAGGCAAGUCGAAACACAGGCAUCCUUUGAAAUCCCCUCUUCUCUGAAUUCUGCAAUGCAGUUCUACAGCUGAAUAAAGUGUACAAAGAUGCAUCUAUACUAGGGUAAAAUAUGUAUACAAAAUGCAGUAUUUCAGGGGGAACUGCUUUGCCACAAUGUGCAGACUGGGCAACGUUGUAGGUAAAGAUGUCUGUGUUAGAAGAAAUUUGCAGAAAAAUGCUGAUGAGGACUUUUAAAAAAACCACAAACUAUGGAAAUGUGGAGAAAUGAACUGAAGAUUAGAAAAAUGAGAGAAACCAAAAUUGACUGAUUUGCGCAUCCGUAUGUCGCUUACCCCUCUUCCAUUAUAUAUUGCUGUAGGCUCUUUCAGGCUUGCUGUGUUCUAUAUUCAGUUACUUUGUGAGACUCCACCCUCUGCAUAUUUAAAAGCCAAAAUGGUGAUUGAUCUUGUGGUAAUGGUAUCCUGGAAAGACAUAAUUAUCCAACACAGUGUUAUCAACAGUUCAAAACACACUUCAGUAGCUACAAUGGGUAAAAUGAUGGUUGUCAUGGAAGGUUUAGAGGACACACCAGUCAGAAUGCUGGGCAUAUUUUUGUACAGUGGUACCGAAGGUUAAGAACUUAAUUCAUUCUGGAGGUCCGUUCUUAACCUGAAACUGUUCUUAACCUGAAGCACCACUUUAGCUAAUGGUGCCUCCCACUGCCGCUGCAUGAUUUCAGUUCUCAUCCUGAAGCAAAGUUCUUAACCCGAGGUAAUAUUUCUGGGUUAGCGGAGUCUGUAACCUGAAGCGUCAGUAACCCAAGGUACCACUGUAUUUCCUUUUCUCAGUCACUUCCAAAUUGGCCUGUUUUCUGAGAUUCCAUCCUGAUUUGUUUGCACAAGGUUUUCAGGGAGGUUAGACAACAUUGGAAAUAUUAGCAAGCGUCUCCGGAAGAUAAGGACCAGGGACAAAAUAAACCUAAUGGUAUAUAGGGUAAGGUUACCAGGCGUCCCCGUUUCCCGGGGACGGUCCCCAGAUUUACAAAUCAGUCCCCUGACAAAAUCCUAUCAUUCCGACUCACUUCAGUGAAGUGUCCCUGGAUUCAUUGAAAAUAAUCUGGUAACCUUAAUAUAGGGAUAGUUGGGUAGACUUUUAAAGAGUGACUCAGAGCUGUCACACUAUUGCAUGUCAUAGAACACUUUCUAUUCUUAACAAGCUAAAAAGGAAGAGAGGCUGUUACACUUGUGUUCAGAGAAUAGAAUAGAAUAGAAUAGACCUUGCACUUCGUUUGGUGGUGGAAGUGUCCAUUAAUUGCAAAGUUCUAAAACUUGACCUGGACACGGCUGAGUUAAGGCAGGUUGAAAGCAUGCCAUCAAUAUUCACCGUCAGUACAAAUACUACCGUAUACAUAAAUCCCCAUCUGUCAGUAUGGAACGGUGCCGGCUCAAGUUAAUUGGACUCUUGCCCUAAAACACAGGUGCCUGGCAUUAACGUGUUUCAAUUGCCAGGCUACAAAGCAGUGGGUACCACUUCCUUCGCAGGAGGUUCCUUCCUGGUGCCAGCACAUGAAUGCUCUGGCAUUCGGCCGGCAGUACCGCUCAUCAUUCAGAAAAGGGGUAAAUGCAGGCAACAGAAGGUAUCUUAGGCCAGGGGUGAGGAAUGUUGUUUUGUUUCUUAAGCCCAAGGGCUGCAUUUCCUUUGGGGGGCGGGGCAGAGGAGUGAGAAGGGACUGAUGGGAAGGGUCAGUGGAGCAACACAUGCCAAUUUUACCCCUGUGCAGGUAGCCUAGUUUCCAUACUCAGUCCCACACCCCUCCGUAUCUCCUCCAUCCAGGCAAGGAAGAGGCAUAUUGUACACAAUCCACCCAGGCAAAACACUCAAGGAGGGUAGCAAAGCAGGGAGGUGAGGCUACGUGGGCCAGAUUGAGAUUCCUGGAGGGAGGGCCACAUCCCUGCCUUGGGCUCUUAGCUCUCACCUAUGUGUGCAUUCCGUGAGGUUUAAGUCGUGGUUGCAGAGAUGCUCCUAAGUGCUGCCUAUCAAGGCUGCAGGCAAGCAACAGAUUUUGCAGAACGUUGGAAGCUACAUUCAUACAAUUAUUCCACAGUACAGUGGUACCUUGGGUUACAUACGCUUCAGGUUACAGACACUUCAGGUUACAGACUCUGCUAAUCAAGCAAUAGUACCUCAGGUUAAGAACUUUGCUUCAGGAUGAGAACAGAAAUCGUGUGGCGCCAGCGCUGCAAGACCCCAUUAGCUAAAGUGGUCUUGAGGUUAAGAACAGUUUCAGGUUAAGAACGGACCUCCAGAACAAAUUAAGUUCUUAACCUGAGGUACCACUGUAUUCUUUCCUUAUAGGUUUUGCAUGUGUAUCUGGUGCUUCAAGCAACACCCUCGAAAUCUAUUCCAUAUAAUUUAUUACAACACUUAUCACCCACAUUUCUUCCAAGUUGCUCAAGGUUGUGUAUAUGGUUCUCCCCUCCCAUUUUAUCCUCACUGUAUAACAGUGUUUGGCCUAAGGUAAUGCAACAUUUUGGUCCAGCAGGGAUGGGUCAUUUGACACCCUUCCCCCAACCUUUGCGACACCAGCUUAAGCCAGGCUCUGGGAAAGAGGCAUGAGGGUGUAUGGGCAAUUUAUCCGGAAGAUAAUUGUAUAUAGAGGAGUUAGUGAUCUGGCGUGGUUGCCGUCUUCCUGCUCUCUGUUCCUCCCCCCUCCCCUUGUCUCUUAAGUUCUUUGAUGGCACGAGAACAGCCUUUAAUGUCCUAAUCUGGUGGAAGGAAGUGAUAGGGCUAGGUACCUUCUUUGAUGUUGGACAUUGUUUCGAGAAAGUGAGGCAUUGGGAAGGGGUGGCUUAUGAAUAAUCUGUACAUAGCCAAUAAUAAAUGAUCUACACAUAGUCUGUCGGGCAAGCCACACAUGCUAGCUUUCUAUAAAUUGGAUGGUUUGGGCCAGAAUUGGGAGAAGCUUGUGCAUGGACUGAUCAGCCAUGGGGCCGUGCAAACUGAGGCUACCUGGGGGAGUCACUUCGCCACUUCUUGAGGGCUUCCAAGUAGCAGGCUGAGGUGCUUGCUUGGUAUGUACAUAUUGCUUGCUGUUUAGAAUAAAAUCUUUAAUCUUCUCACUCACUUGUGUUUUGUAUUGCUUCUGAAUCUCAUUUUAAAAGAGCUACCUUGCAUUUGGCAAGACAAAGGGCUCUGGACCUAGAGCCCUCUUACCUCCUCCCCAGAGCCCUGUAAACACUUGGGAAGAGGGAUGUAGGACUCCAGGACCCUGUUGGAGCCCUUACACCUCCUUCCCGAAGCUGGGCAAGAGCAUAAUGGGCUUUGAGAAGAUGUCCUCUUCAACUGUGCACCUGCUGCAACUAUACCACUCACAAUGCCCUAAAUCCGCCUCUAGGUCAGGGCUGGCUGGGGCUGAUGAAGUUGUAGACCACCAACAUAUGAAGAACAUUACCUUGGCUAUUCUUGCUCAGAGGUAUCUUGGACUUCAGUUUAAAAGGUCCACUCAGUCUGGAAACAAAUGAGCAACUUUUGUUUCCCCUCCCCUCUCUUUUAGCAUAGGCUUUGUGUCAUCCACACAUGAAACUAGCACUCAUGACAUCGGUCAAAUCGGAUUAAAAAUCAUCAUCAAAUACUCAUCAAUUCAUUUGGCUUCUUCAAAACUGAGGUUCGCUGCUGUCCUAGGGAGACCAUUCCAGAAUUAAAAGCCUGUCCAGAUCUUAGUUAUUAAUAGAUAGCAGCUAUUGAUUAGCUCUUGUACCCCAAGAUCAAAUUUAAUCAAACUCUUGCCGUCUUUCAAAUCUUUAUUCUGAUUAACAGCAUCAUCCUUCUACAGGAGCGACAUAUUUCUCUUUGAAGAGUGCAGACCUCUUCUCGUGACUGGGAGUAUAAAGACAUACGCCCUGAUUGAUGGACCAAACGCACCUACGCUUUAUGGCACCUGUUUGAGCUUCCCUGCCAGCAAACUCUGAAUUCAUGGACACUUCUGACUGCCACCAAGACAGAUUGUACAACACAGCAGGUGCCUGAGCAGCUCACAAACGUUUUACAGAUGAAAUGGAUGUAAGGGAAAACCAUUUAUUCUCUUUCAAGUUGGCCUAACAACGCCAUGGAAAUGGUGCCAAGUACUAAGAAAUAAAUAAACGAGCCACAAAAGUGUAAUCUAAACAGGUUAGGCCCAUGGAGUCUCCAGGAAAGAACAAGUUCAGCUGGAAAGCAAUAUCUCUGGCUUCUGAAGGGAGAGAGGAGAGCCUGAGGCCCACUCUAUCACCAUGACUAGGACCAUCUGGCAUUUGGUUCCUCCCAUACCCUCCAACAUUUCUGCAAUGAAAACAGGGACAUCCUAUUCAAUAAUAAUAAUAAUAAUAAUAAUAAUAAUAAUAUACCACACCCAUCUGACUGGGUUGCUCCAGGCAUUCUGGGCAACUUUCAACAUAUAUAAAAACAUAAAACAUUAAAAAAACUUCCCUAUACAAGGCUGCCUUCAGAUAUCUUCUAAAGAUUGUAUGGUUACCUAUCUCCUUGGCUCAGAGAUCACAUAACUCCAUACCCUCCAACAUUUCUCCAAUGAAAAUAGCGACGUCAUAAGGAAAAGUGGGACACACUGGGAUCAAAUCAGAAACUGGAACUUCUUUAAAUCCAGGACUGUACCUAGGAAAUAGGGACACUUGGAGGGUCUGAAAUGAACUUAUUUUCUUUUCCCCUUCACAUGCUUUUUCUCUUUGGGUCAUAAGAGAUUGUAAGCAGCGUUCAAAACUCCCAUUGUUCUAGGCGCGUUUUGCAACAAGGGUUUUCAUUAGCGUGAGCAGUUUCUGAGCUCUGGGCGCAGCACUGCACCUAAGAUUUCAGAUGAAAACUGCAGAGUGGAAGGAAAGGAGGACCUUUUUCUGCUUCCCCACUUCCAGAAACCCUGAAGACUGGAGAAGAGACCCUCUUAGGGAGGUGGGCUGGGGAAGCGUGGCUUUUUGUUUUUUGCAGUCUUCGGAUGAGGACUAGACCGUGUGAAAAAUGAAUAUAAGAUUUUAGCUGUAUUUCAUUCAUUUGCAGCUUUGUAUUCUUGCUAUUAAAAAAGUGCACCUAGACAUUCUGUUGUUGUGCCCAUAUCCUAGGUUUAAGGUGCUAUUUAGCUCCUAGCUUUCAUAUCUCUGUUUCUAACACUGAUUGUAAGGCUACAGGCCAGGACUGUUCAGCGGCAACAACAAGAAACUCUGUCCCCUAUUUUAAUUUUAUAGAGGUUUUUGAGUGGUUAGGGUCAUUAUCUUUACCAGUGUUUGUGGGAUCCUUCUUGUUAGUACAGUUAUACCCUAAGAGUAAUGGCCUUUGAAGAUUAAAAAUGAAUGGAACUGAGCUCUAAAUGAACAACAGUGUACUACCUAUAGCAACCACAUUACACAGGUACAGCUUACUCACUGUGUAAACGUGCGUAGUGCGAAUGGCUACAGUCUCUUGCCACUUCUCUUCAAAGUAGAUCAUUUUCCUUUCCCACGCCAGAUGCACAACAUGCAUUUCUGACAGGCGAUCAAAGAUAGAUUGAUCAAUAAGAAAUACAGGUUUGGAUUUAAUUCUGACAUCUUAUUUAGGGUCCUCACGGAAAAUGUCACUAUAGAAUAUGAUAGGAAGAACAGAAUAUCAUUUUAGGGGUAGCCUUUGAAAGUUUAGGGUAGUGGGCUUAUUUCAAGCACAAAAUGGAGGCUGGUGCAAAUUUUGAAAGCGCAGAUUUUGAAAGAUAGCUGUGUUUUGACCCAUGCAUUGCUUUGGAAAGUGAAAAAUGGAUAGAUCCUGCUUUAAAUGCAACCUGAAUCAAAUUUCCCCCUUAUCCUUAGUGGACGGAUUAUCUACUUGUAAUUGACCUCCUUGAGCUUUGGGUUAAUUUGUUGAUGUUAACAGCUAUUUUUAAUUUGUGUCCCUCUAACCUCUGCUCUCUUGAUAUCACCGAUUAGAAGCAUGGCAGGGACUUACUGGCUUAUGCCGUGAUUAUCACACUUGCCUCUUGGGAUUUUAAUGAUCAGGGUGUUCAAAACUUUAAAAAUGUCAGCUGCUGGCUACCUGGACACACCGUUCCUUUCAGCAAACAUCUUAUUAAUCUUCUGGCUUUUAAGAAGAAAAGUGGGAGAGAAUGUUUUGAGUGAGGUGUUAGUGCCAAAUUAUUUUUAAAUUAAGCCUGGUGAUUUUUUCUUCUUCUCCAGAUCUUGAGAGGAGAAGGGGGGGAGGAAUCCCUUAAAUCUGUGGGGGAAUGGGAUUAAGCCAAGGCACUUCAAGUGAUAGCAGGCUGAAGGCAACAGGAGCUUUCAUGAUGAGAUAUAAUAAGAAGGGACAAAGGAGCAAAGCCUGUUGUCAGGAUGAAAAGAAUACAAAGUCAGGGAGAUAAGUACUUACUCAUUACACACAGGGGAACGUCGUGUAAGUUGUAGAAAUUGAGAGAGUGAUUGAGAAUCCGCAGGUGCUCACUAAAUUUGAAAAUGAAGGUGUGUAUAUAAAAUCAUACCUAUCGAAUUAGGAAGAAUAUGUUAUCCCCGAGAUGUAAAUUUUAGGUAUGGCAGGACUGUGCAAGGGUGAACUAUUUCAUGCUCCCCCAGGUGAGACACAUCAGAGAUAACAAGCAAUAAUGGGUCUCAUUUGUGUAGCAUUCUGCUACUUCAAAGCAUUUCUAAAUAUCACCUUAAUUGUGUCAAAAGAGUAGGCCAAAAGGAAAGGUCGGUGUUAAGGCUGUUUCUUCCGAGAUGUCAAUGUGGGAUGCAUACUCCAAUCAAUUGUCACGGAACCUGAUUUUUAAAUGAUUCAGGUCAAUUACAGCAAGACCUUUGUAAGCCAACCACUCGCACAAUGUCAUUACGAGCUGCUACAGUCAGCUGUCGAGCUCGUUGUUAGUAUUUUGCCAUUUGAAGCAAUUAAGAUACCAACAUGAAUGUCGCCUGGAGGUUCAAACUCAUAAAGCAAGAACAUAAGAAGAGCCUUUCUGGAUGAGACCACACAGGUCUGUCCUGUCUAGUCCUUCCCCCCGCUAAUAGUGACUGCCAAACAUACGCUUCUGGGAAACCCACAAGCAAGGCACAUUUUCAUUUCUCUUGGCCUCAGCACCUGGUACUCAAGGAUAUACUGUAUCUGAACAUAGGUAAAAGGUAAAGGACCCCUGGACGGUUAAGUCCAGUCAAAGGCGACUAUGGGGUGUGGCGCUCAUCUUGCUUUCAGGCCGAGGGAGCUGACGUUUGUCCACAGACAGCUUUUCCAGGCCAUGUGACCAGCAUGGCUAAACCGCUUCUGGAACAAUGGGACACUGUGACGGAAACCAGAGUGCAGAGAAACGCCAUUUACCUUCCUGUCACAGUGGUACCUAUUUAUCUACUUGCACUGGUGUGCUUUCGAACUGCUAGGUUGGCAGGAGCUGGGACAGAGCUCACCUCAUUGUGGGGAUUCAAACCGCCAACCUUCUGAUCAGCAAGCCCAAGAGGCUCAGUGGUUUAGAGCACAGUGCCACCCGCAUCCCUUCAUCUGAACAUAGAGGUUCAGUCUAGCUACCAUGGUUCUUAACAGUUUAUAGGCCUAAACACCACAAGCUUGUUGAACCAUUUUUAAAGGUAUUUAAGCCAGUAGCAAUUGCCAGAAAAUUCCAGAGGUGGAGACCUCUGCCAAAUACUGACUAGACUAAGAGCAUGUUCAGAACCGUGAAGAUUCAAUGCCACAUAAUUUUCACUUCUUUUUGUAGAAAAGUGGCAUUUUUCAUGACAGCUGUAGAGCGGAAAACCUUUCAGUUUGACUUAGCUCCCCCCCUUUGUUAGAACAAUUUAAUUUCUGACUUACUUAUAGCAUCCCCCCUGCUCCCGUGUGUAGAUCCAGCCUGGGUGUGAUUUCCAGUGAAGAAAUGGCAGGCAGGAGAAGAAUGCUUCGUCUCUUUCCCUUUGAGACCAUUCCCUGCUAGCAGGGCUCAUUUCAUUUGCCCUUCUCUGGGUGGGAGAUGGGAGAAAUGUUGCUGGAGAAUGCUUUGCAGGAGGAAAAGCAGUGGGCAGAGGAAUGGUUCGACACUUUUCUCCCACCCUAAUAGUUGCCACUCAUGGCACUUGGCUGCUCUUGGGCGGCAACACCUGUUCAAAGCUACACAUUAACCAAAAUGUUGCAUCGUUCUAAGCUAAGUUGCUGCGUAAGACAAAACCAAAGGCCAAGAUGAAAAUAUCCCCCAUCCGCAAUAUAAUAGUGUUAAGCUGUGUUCCCUGUUCUUACCAUAACCUUCAUUCCUUCUCCAUUAUAGGUGAUUAUGCUACUGGGAGCAUCUAUGAUCACAAGACUCCCAAUUAUUUAGGGACAGUCUUUGUUGCAGACAGACCAACUGCUAAGCGACAGAUUGAUUCAUUGGUCUGGGUUGCAUACUUUAAUUGUGGAUCAUUAUAUUUCGGUACUUGCAUAAUUGGUUUUUAUACUGCUCGGAGGCCUAUUUGAGUGUUAAGUAGUAUACAAAUUACCGCAUUUUGGCUCUAUAAGAUGCACCAGACCACAAGACGCACCUAGUUUUUGGAGGAGGAAAACAAGAAAAAAAAUAUUCUGAAUCUCAGAAGCCAGAACAGCAAGAGGGAUCGCUGCACAGUGAAAGCAGCAAUCCCUCUUGCUGUUCUGGCUUCUGGGAUAGCUGCACAGCCUGCAUUCACUCCAUAAGAUGCACACACAUUUCCCCUUACUUUUUAGGAGGGAAAAUGUGAGUGUUAUAGAGCAAAAAAUAUGGUAAUUAAUUUAUUGACACUUAGGCACCAGGCCUAAGCAAAACCAGUCCUCAAGGGCUGAAAAUGGAGUGUUGCAUGGUACUGGUUAUGCAAAAAAACAAGCAUGGCUGUAUUGUUACGUGUGCAUUUUCAUACACAGUUAUGAUUAAAAAAUAAAAUAAAAAUAAAACAAAUCCCUGCUUCACUAUGCGAAGAAUCAGAGGGAGGUAAAGACAACAUGGGUUUUCUUUGUUCAGCAACUAUGUGUGGCUUUUAAGAGACACAAAUGUAACUUACUUGGAAGAAGAUUUGAUGGGAGUGUGACUCCAGCUGUUUUUCCACUUUGGGAACAGAAAGGUCGUCUGCAUAAGUAUUGCAAUUUGUAUUUUGUUGACGCCCUAUAAAAAACACAGUUCUGACACCUAUCACAUCAAGAGCAGAGAAGAGAUUCUAAAAAGAGAGGAAAUAGCCGUCAAAGAGUUUCUUUCAUACAGGAUCAAAUGAUUGAGAGUGAAAUAUACCCUUUUCCAGAUGAAUAGGUAUCCGGUGAGAAUCUUUCCUUUACAAUAAUUCUUGAUAGUCCUUAUUAAACCUCUAGAUGAAGUAUUUCAAAAAGGUGACUUGAAAGGUUCAAGUAAGAUAGAUUGUUAGGAUUUCUCUAUUUGGAGGUCCAACUGUGUUAAGAAACAGACUAAACUACCAAAAUUGUUAAAGGAGUUGAAUACAACAGAGAAGAAAUGAACAGGCUAAGCUAAAAACUUCACCAUUCUGUUAUGCUUCUCCCUCUGUCUACACCCAAAGAUGGAACUGUAGAAUUCAUUCUGUAUAAAAGUCUCUUCUGUUAAAUGAAAUAAGCACUUUUUAAAAAAGAAGAUCAUUAGGGGAUAAUACAAAGGGGUUCUAGUCUGUAUAAUCUCCGAGAGUUCUUCUUUAAAAAUGCUGCCAAUAUCAUGGCGAGAGAUUUUUUAAAAAUAGAUAAUGUAAGAUACUCAGAUAAUAAAAAAUUGAAAUGGCAAACCAAUCUCUAAAAUAACUUUAGAACAGCUAUAGAAUUGCAUGGCCUGCCCAUUCCCAUUGAUUCAGUUUUCUCGACCUGCACGGAAUGGGAGAGGAUGGGAAGAUCAUAUUGAGUGAUCAGGGUUACACAACAUGGGGUGAAUUAUAUGCUUGUAGAGAGGCUACCUUAAGCACACACCUGCCAACACAUGGAUUUCAGUGGGAGGAGAGAAUGGGAUGCAACCACAGGUAUGUGGGCAGAGAUCUCUUUCUCCCUGUUUGGCCAACUGAGAAAGCCAAAAUGCAGCUGCAAAAAUGCAUUCAGAAAUGGAAAGGAAGCUAAGUCCUUGUGGAAGACAUAUGAGAAAGCCCCCUUGUGUGUGGCUACCAACCUUGUUUCAGAAGGGCAUUGGAACAGGAGGACCAGUCAAUCUUAAAGGAUGGGCAGGUUCACAUAAGAGAUGGUCCUUCAAGAAGAAGAAGAAGAAGAAGAAGAAGUGGAAGAGGAGUUUGGAUCUGAUAUCCCGCUUUAUCACUACCCGAAGGAGUCUCAAAGCGGCUAACAUUCUCCUUUCCCUUCCUCCCCCACAGCAAACACUCUGUGAGGUGAGUGAGGCUGAGAGACUUCAGAGAAGUGUGACUGGCCCAAGGUCACCCAGCAGCUGCAUGUGGAGGAGCGGAGACGCGAACCCGGUUCCCCAGAUUAUGAGUCUACCGUUCUUAACCACUACACCACACUGGCUCUCAAAGCUGUUUAGGGUUUAUAGGUGAUAGCUAAUACUUUUGCAUGGACAGGCGGAGUCCCCCCAACCCCUGGUGACCCCCGAGCGGAAUAAUGACUCAAGACAACAUGCUAUGAGAUUAAAGUUGGCCACAACUUUAUUAAGUUUCAGAUGUAGGGAGACCUUGGCUCAGGCAUUGGGCGUUUAUCCUUCCCAGUCCCCAGCCGGGGCUCUGGGAGACAUCAGGGUUAUCCAGAAUGUGUGGGUAUUGGGCUGGCUCUGGAGAACAUAUGUUCAAGCAGGGAGCCCACCCCCUGUUUCGCCGCCAUUGCAGGGGAGAGCAAUGACAACCUCUCGGCGUAUGGCUAAUGCCUCCCCUCAAGACCCCUUUAAUGGAGAACCCUGGGAUCGCUGCCACAAGGGGUGUGGGUGUGGGUCACCGCUUCACACCUCCCCCCCCAUUUAGGAAGAUAGACAAAAGGAUUCCGCCCAAGGCCAUUGUGUGUUGCUACCAUGUUGUUUCAGAAGGGCAUUGGCACAUGCACAGCAGUCAAUCUUAAAGGAUGGGCAGGUUCUCAUAAGAGAUGGUCCUUCAAGAAGCUUUGCCACAAGCUGUUUAGGGCUUUAUGGGUGAUAGCUAAUACUUUUAAUGGUACUCAGACAUAGCCUGGCAGUUGGUGCAUUGCUAUAAGGUGGUCUCUCUCUGUGUUACAGAAUCCUAGCACCUUGCCCCAGUCAGGAUUUUUUUGCUGCAAUGUUUUGCACCACUUAAAGUUUCUGAGUAGCUUUCAAGAGCCAGCCCCACAUGCAACAUGUGGCAGUAGUCCAGCCAAGAUGUAACUAAUGCAGGCAUGGCCAAACUUGGCCCUCCAGCUGUUUUGGAACUACAACUCCCAUUACACCUAGCUAACAGGACCAGUGGUCAGGAAUGAUGGGAACUGUAGUCCCAAAACAGCUGGAGGGCCAAGUUUGGCCGUGCCUGAAAUGCAUGUAGGGUUAUUUCCAGGCCUGGCCAUUCCAGGAACAGGUGCAAUUGACAUACCAGCCAACAUCGCGGCACAAUCAUGUGUGAGAAACAUCAGAGACAACCUCAGGAACACCCAAAACAAUGAGAAUUACAGUGGUACCUCAGGUUACAUAUGCUUCAGGUUACAGACUCCGCUAACUCAGAAAUAGUACCUCAGGUUAAGAACUUUGCUUCAGGAUGAGAACAGAAAUUGUGCUCCGGCCCCAUUAUCUAAAGUGGUGCUUCAGGUUAAGAACAGUGUCAGGUUAAGAACGGACCUCCGGAACGAAUUAAGUACUUAACCUGAGGUACCACUGUAUAUACAAAGUGAUUUAUGAGUAGAUGAAACAAGAAUACAUGUAAAAUGAACACACACACAAACACACACAAACACGGGUGGCAGCCACUGUUGUGCAACGCCUACAGAAAUUUCUCCAAACACCUCAAAUUUUUCUAUUAUUUCCACAAUAUCUUCUGGAUACUGUGUUCCAUUUUUAUACCAUUUUCAUGGUUGGGGGGGUGGUCCUGUGGUUUUGUAUGUCCUGUUCUUGGUGGUCUUUUUGUUUUGGUGAUGUUUUAAGUGUAACUUGCUAGCAGCUUGGGGUUAGAAAAAUCAUUUAAAUAAUUCACUUUUGCUUUUAGGUGGUGGUGGUGGGGAGUUGGUUUUAAAAAGAAUGAGAGUUAUUCUGAUUACUUUUAGGUUGGCCACCCCCAAAUUUCUCUAGCAAGAGCAGAGAGGCCUUUCUCUGUUUAAUUUAAACAGAGAAGAGCAAAUUUUGCUCAAUAUCCUACCAUUUAUUUCCUAAGUAGAAAUUCCACAGGCGAAGGAAGGGGGAGGGAGGGGGAGAGCUGGGGUCGGGGAGGGGAGGGGAGGGAAAGUAAUCCUCUUUGCCAAACAAAACAUCAAAAAUCUCAGUAAUUUUGUAAAUGGCAUUUACUGCUUCAGCUGAAAUGUUUUGAUGUUUUUUGAUGUUUCUCAAUGAAAACAGAAGCAGAAAGGAUGAAUUGCUUUGCAUUUAUGCAGUGGGCUUCACAGUUAGCACCUCAAAGCGCAGGGAUUAUUGGCUCUGUCAUGUUUGCUUUGUGUUUAGGUCCCCUCAGAAGACUCUUCAGCAUCGGUCUUCAGGGAGAACGGAUGAGUAAUUGAAAUGAUGUCAUCCUGGAAAAGCGUCGCAGCCAAUAUGCCAGCUUCCUUCAGUUCUAGUGAAAGGAGGCUAGUACUUCUGUGCAUUUUCCACUUCUUCUUUGAAUACUUGGUCAUGCCCUUCAGGCUAUGCAAUUCACCCCUGUCUUGCAACGUCUAACGAAUGAUAUUUUCCACGGGAUCUUGGACUAUUGUGUUAUUGUAGAUCUUAAUGCAGGCUUCCUCAACCUCGGCCCUCCAGAUGUUUUGAGACUACAGUUCCCAUCAUCCCUGACCACUGGUCCUGCUAGCUAGGGAUCAUGGGAGUUGUAGGCCAAAAACAUCUGGAGGGCUGAGGUUGAGGAAGCCUGUCUUAAUGUCACGCUUCCUUGGUCUUCACCUUACUUCCGUGAUUUAGGUUGUUUUAAACUGUUUUGAAUGUUGUGUUUAAUUGUUGUGACCUGCCCCGGAACUUUGGGGUAAAGAAUGGGUAAUUAGUAAUAAUUAAACCAUCCCAUACCUCUGUAUUCUACACAUAUGAUUCAUCUUGGAGAGCCUCUGAAAAACCAACUCUAUGCAGCUGUGAUUAUGACUGACCCAAGUUGAAUUUUGUGGAUAUCCAUCACCCCCAAGGCACUGGGAUGGACCCCCACUGCUGUCCUGAUUCCCACUGAAAACUGAAAGGUGUUCAGUGUUUCCUUGGAUUUGCAAAUUAUUACUGUGGUUUCAUCCCCAGCUUCUCCACAAUAGUCAUACUAUUGAGAGAUCUGUUAAGGAGCCAGUCUAGCUUCAAGUGGACCUUUUGACUACCUGAAACAGAAGCUCACCAUGACAAUCUGGGAUUGCCAACCCUGGAACUGCUUCAAUGUUCUUCUCUUCUGUCACAAUGCCCUUUCAGCAGACCAUUUGUGGCUUUACCAAACGCUCCAUCAAAUUUAGCCAGACAUUUUUAUCGGCAUAGGUAAAUAAUCCACACGACAGCCAAAAUAUAAAUGCAGGUAGCCAAAUAGUUAGAAGUUACAUCUGGAUAUAUGGACUACUGGCUGCAAAGCCUGGUGGGACGCUCUUUCACAAGAGACCAAGGCCCUCUGGGAUUUGACAUCUUUCUGCAGGGCCUGCAAAAUGGAGCUGUUCAGCCAGGCCUUUGGGCAGGAUGCAGUUUGACUUACUUUCCUUUGUAUAAAACAAGCCUGAAGGAGGCCUCCAACCCGCUCACAGGUACUUGUAUGAUCAGUGGAAACAGUUGGUCCUGGCAAGUAUUAACCACUCUCAAUUCCAACCUGAAAAUUGCCACCUGCCCAG
rnacentral:lncRNA from 1 species